rnacentral:rRNA from 1 species
ACUCCUACGGGAGGCAGCAGUGGGGAAUUUUGGACAAUGGGCGCAAGCCUGAUCCAGCAAUGCCGCGUGAGUGAAGAAGGCCUUCGGGUUGUAAAGCUCUUUUAGUUGAAAAGAAAAGGUCGCGACUAAUAAUCGCGACUCAUGACGGUAUCAACAGAAAAAGCACCGGCUAACUACGUGCCAGCAGCCGCGGUAAUACGUAGGGUGCAAGCGCUAAUCGGAAUUACUGGGCGUAAAGGGUGCGCAGGCGGUUUUGUAAGUCAGAUGUGAAAUCCCCGGGCUUAACCUGGGAAUUGCGUUUGAAACUGUAAAACUAGAGUGCGGCAGAGGGAGGUGGAAUUCCAUGUGUAGCAGUGAAAUGCGUAGAGAUAUGGAAGAACAUCGAUGGCGAAGGCAACCUCCUGGGCUAGCACUGACGCUCAUGCACGAAAGCGUGGGGAGCAAACAGGAUUAGAUACCCUGGUAGUCCACGCCCUAAACUAUGUCAACUAGUUGUCGGGUCUUAUUAGAUUUGGUAACGUAGCUAACGCGUGAAGUUGACCGCCUGGGGAGUACGGUCGCAAGAUUAAAACUCAAAGGAAUUGACGGGGACCCGCACAAGCGGUGGAUUAUGUGGAUUAAUUCGAUGCAACGCGAAAAACCUUACCUACCCUUGACAUGUCAGAAAGUUUUCAGAGAUGAAAUCGUGCUCGAAAGAGAAUCUGAACACAGGUGCUGCAUGGCUGUCGUCAGCUCGUGUCGUGAGAUGUUGGGUUAAGUCCCGCAACGAGCGCAACCCUUGUCAUUAAUUGCCAUCAUUUAGUUGGGCACUUUAAUGAGACUGCCGGUGAUAAACCGGAGGAAGGUGGGGAUGACGUCAAGUCCUCAUGGCCCUUAUGGGUAGGGCUUCACACGUAAUACAAUGGCGCGUACAGAGGGUUGCCAACUCGCGAGAGGGAGCUAAUCUCAGAAAGCGCGUCGUAGUCCGGAUCGGAGUCUGCAACUCGACUCCGUGAAGUCGGAAUCGCUAGUAAUCGCGGAUCAGCAUGUCGCGGUGAAUACGUUCCCGGGUCUUGUACACACCGCCCGUCACACCAUGGGAGUGGGUUUCACCAGAAGCAGGUAGUCUAACCGUAAGGAGGGCGCUUGCCACGGUGAGGUUCAUGACUGGGGUGAAGUCGUAACAAGGUAGCC